AUUGAACGCUGGCGGCAUGCCUUACACAUGCAAGUCGAACGGCAGCACGGGAGCAAUCCUGGUGGCGAGUGGCGAACGGGUGAGUAAAGUAUCGGAACGUGCCCAGUCGUGGGGGAUAACGUAGCGAAAGUUACGCUAAUACCGCAUACGAUCUAUGGAUGAAAGCGGGGGAUCGCAAGACCUCGCGCGAUUGGAGCGGCCGAUAUCAGAUUAGGUAGUUGGUGGGGUAAAGGCUCACCAAGCCGACGAUCUGUAGCUGGUCUGAGAGGACGACCAGCCACACUGGGAUUGAGAGACGGCCCAGACUCCUACGGGAGGCAGCAGUGGGGAAUUUUGGACAAUGGGCGCAAGCCUGAUCCAGCCAUGCCGCGUGCAGGAUGAAGGCCUUCGGGUUGUAAACUGCUUUUGUACGGAACGAAAAGGUUUGACUUAAUACGUUGGACUCAUGACGGUACCGUAAGAAUAAGCACCGGCUAACUACGUGCCAGCAGCCGCGGUAACAC
rnacentral:rRNA from 1 species